rnacentral:tRNA from 1 species
GAGGUUGUGGCUCAGUGGUAGAGCGCCUGCCUAGCAUGCAUGAGGCACUGGGUUCAAUCCUCAGCACCACA